rnacentral:misc_RNA from 1 species
GGAGGGAUCAUCAAAGGAUUUUUCCACUCUAAAAAAGUGCUUCUUGUACGAAGAAGUGCUUUUUUCAAACAAACGAUCACAACUAUUGAUAGAGAAAAAAGAGACACAUUGUGAUUUGGUGAGAAGGGGGAAAAGGAAAAGGAGAGUUUGACUUUGAAAAAAAAGUGUUUGCCUGAUAAUUUGAAGAGAAAAAUGAUGAUAUACAACUUUCAACAACGGAUCUCUUGGCUCUCACAUCGAUGAAGAACAUAGCAAAGUGUGAAAAUUAAUGUGAAUUGCAGAAUUCAGUGAAUCAUUGAGUUUUUGAACGCAUCUUGCACUUCUUGGUAUUCCAGGGAGUAUGCCUGGUUGAGUAAUGUGAACACACAUCAAAUCAAACCCCUUUCUCUAAGCAAGAAAGAGGGAGAGAGAUUUUGGAGUUGAGUGGUGUUUUACCUUGGCUAUUUUGCCAAGGUUCACUUGAAAUGAAGAGGGAAAGCAAAACUUUAGCAGUAGCGAUUACCACAACAGGAUAUGGAGAAUUUCUUGAUGAUGAUGAUGAUAGUGUGUUGGUUGGUUAAAGGACAACAGAUUUUGUCUGAUUUCUGACCUAUCUAUCAACCUAUCAAUCAAUCAAUCAAUCCUGGCAGUAGUAGUAAAGAAGCUUCUUGCUUGGUUAUUUCUCAACUAGGGAAUGUGAUGUGGUUUUAUGAGAGAGGGGGGAGGAGGGGAGAGAGACUGGUUGAGAAAUCAGUCAAUCCAUCCAUCCAUCAGUCGAAACCACACAAUCAUUAUCAUUCUCAACUCAGGCAAGACUACCCGCUGAAUUUAAGCAUAUAAAUAAGCGGAGGAAAAGAAACUAACAAGGAUUCCCUCAGUAACUGCGAGUGAAGCGGGAAAAGCUCAAAUUUGAAAUCUACCAAGAGUGACAUUCUUGGUCGAAUUGUAGUUUCGAGAAAGAGUGGCUGAGAGAAGUCGUGUUGGGUGUAAGUUCCUUGGAAUGGGACAUCAGAGAGGGUGACAAUCCCGUCUACCAUCCUUCCGUUUGCUUCUCAUAAAGGCCCUCUUUUCAAAGAGUCGAGUUGUUUGGGAUUGCAGCUCAAAAUGGGUGGUAAAUUUCAUCUAAAGCUAAAUAUGGGUGAGAGACCGAUAGCGAACAAGUACCGUGAGGGAAAGAUGAAAAGUACUCUGAAGAGAGAGUCAAAAGUACGUGAAAUUGUUGAAAGGGAAACGCUUGAAACCAGUCAAGGUUUACUAGAAAUCAGAGGAGUUUCCUAGCCAGGGCAAGUUGGAUGUAGAGAUUGGUUUCUUUUGGACCAACUCUGCACCGGCUUUUUAGUUUGGUUAUGUUCCUUGUAUGUUUCCAGUAAACAAGUCAGCAUCAGUUUGGCUGCUUGGGAAAAAGAUAACAGGAUUUGGUCGGGCUUUUAAUGGACCUUGUGUCCUUGAAGGCUUGAGCCUGCUUAUCAUCAUACCAAGUGCUAGACUGAGGACAGCAGGACAGGGCAUUGACUUGGAAUAGGCAAUCUUGGAGUGCUAUUCUUGAUAAACAGCUUUUGUCUGAUUGUCGAGAAUGGUCCACUCAAGUCUUGUCAAAUCCAAGCUGGCCCCGCCUUUGGAUGUUGACGAAAUGGUUUUAAACGACCCGUCUUGAAACACGGACCAAGGAGUCUAACAUGGAUGCAAGUAUUUGGGUGAUUGGAAACCCAUAUGCGUAAUGAAAGUGAAUUUAUCAAGAGGUAGGAAGCCCCCCUCUUUCCGUUGGAAAGAAAAGGAGGCGGCACUAUCAACCAAUCUUGACUAGCUCCGGCUUGAUAGAUUUGAGUAAGAGCAUGCAUGUUGGGACCCGAAAGAUGGUGAACUAUGCCUGAAUAGGGUGAAGUCAGACGAAAGUCUGAUGGAAGCUCGUAGCGAUUCUGACGUGCAAAUCGAUCGUCAAAUUUGGGUAUAGGGGCGAAAGACUAAUCGAACCAUCUAGUAGCUGGUUCCUGC